GAUGAACGCUGGCGGCGUGCUUAACACAUGCAAGUCGAACGAUGAAGCCCAGCUUGCUGGGUGGAUUCGUGGCGAACGGGUGAGUAACACGUGAGUAACCUGCCCUUAACUCUGGGAUAAGCCUGGGAAACUGGGUCUAAUACCGGAUAGGAGCGUCCACCGCAUGUUGGGUGUUGGAAAGUUUUAUCGGUUUUGGAUGGACUCGCGGCCUAUCAGCUUGUUGGUGAGGUAAUGGCUCACCAAGGCGUCGACGGGUAGCCGGCCUGAGAGGGUGACCGGCCACACUGGGACUGAGACACGGCCCAGACUCCUACGGGAGGCAGCAGUGGGGAAUAUUGCACAAUGGGCGCAAGCCAGAUGCAGCGACGCCGCGUGAGGGAUGACGGCCUUCGGGUUGUAAACCUCUUUCAGUAGGGAAGAAGCGAAAGUGACGGUACCUGCAGAAGAAGCACCGGCUAACUACGUG
rnacentral:rRNA from 1 species